AGAACGAACGCUGGCGGCAGGCUUAACACAUGCAAGUCGAGCGGAAAGGCCCUUCGGGGUACUCGAGCGGCGAACGGGUGAGUAACACGUGAGCAACCUGCCCUUAGCUUCGGGAUAGCUCCGGGAAACCGGAAUUAAAUACCGAAUAUGAUUUUUGCUGACAUCAGCAGAAGUGGAAAGUUUUUCGGCUAGGGAUGGACUCGCGGCCUAUCAGCUAGUUGGUGAGGUAACGGCCCACCAAGGCGACGACGGGUA
rnacentral:rRNA from 1 species